ACCCCAGAAAGCCACAGGGGCAGAGAGAUAGCAAGUUUAGUCUGUUGCCUGUGCGUAGAGAACCACACAUAGCUUGCUGGUUGGAGGGAACAAAGCGAGGAGUUUCGGUUUGUUUUCUGGGUAGUUUUCUCUGUGGUUAGAUAUUACAGGAGAAAUGAAGAUGUGCAAAACUAUACUUCCUUGUAUUCUAUUACUGUCAGGUUUAGUAGUCAUGAUGGGAGCGGCACCAGAACAUCACGGAGGACGACCGCUCUCAGACAUGGUGGGAAGCGGUGGCAACUGUAACGGAAGGCGACUGUCUCAGACACGAUGGGAGAGACAGUGGGGCCCGUCACAAAAAGGCGACCAUCCCAGGUACCCACGAAGACUGUGGCGCCCACCACAGAGGCAACCGUCAUGGAGGCGGCAGGGAGACAAGUGGCACCCAUCUGGAGGCGACCAUCCCAGACACGUCAGGGAAGAUGGUGACGCCUGUCACAGAAGCAACCAUCACAGUGGUGACGGGAGAGACCAGUGGCGCCCGUCACAGAGACGACCAUCCCAGACACGUCAGGGAAGAUGGUGACGCCUGUCACGGGGGCAACCAUCACGGAGGCGGCAGGAGAGAUGGUGGCGACCAUCCUAGACAAGCUAGGGAAGACAGUGGCGCCCAGUCACAAAGGCGACUGUCUCAGGCAUGCAAGGGAAGAUGGUGGCACCUGUCACAGAAACAACCGUCGUACAGGUGACGGGAGAGACAGUGGCGCCCGUCACAGAGACGACCAUCCAGACACGUCAGGGAAGAUGGUGACGCCUGUCACGGAGGCAACCAUCAUGGCGGCGGCAGGAGAGCGGUGGCAACCAUCCUAGACAAGCUAGGGAAGACAGUGGCGCCAGUCCACAAAGGCAACCAUCCCCAGUCAUGAGAACGACCUAGGCUUGGACAUAAAGAAAUCUCAACUUCAGGGCUGCCAUCGAUAAAAGCUUCUCAAGUUCUACAAUGAAAAUAAGUAGAGAAUCAACUCUGUUUUUCAAGGUCUACUGCUACAACUAACUUUGGCGGACAAUAUGUUAGUCAAAUCAAACUUGAACAACCCGACUUCUGGUCCAGUCAUGACAGAAAUGAAGAGAUAAUCAUGAAUGUGACCACCCCAGAUGAGGCAGGGGAGAAGAAGGCACCCGUCACGGAGGAGGCUUCCCCAGAGAAAGAACGGCAAUCAUCUAGACUAGUAUG